AUUUGCAACGGAGUUGACAGUACAAUGAAGUUCUUCAGCUUGAUCACCCUGGCAAUCACCCUGGCCUGCUUCGUUAUGCCUUCCUUGGCAAACCCCCAUCCUGCCCCAGGGUACGGGUACGGUCACGACCACAAGGGCCAUCAUUACCACGACCACAAGGGUUACCUUCAUCACAAGCACGACCACCACCACCAUCACUAUCAUCACCAUAAAUAUGAGAAGCAUGGUUAUCACUAACAUGGGGCCAGUCUGGAAAGGAACCUCCUUUGUCCUGCGAGAUCAUCUUCUGAUAUCCUUCACCGUAUAUUAGAAUAUAUUUACUAUGAAUAUAUCAUACUUACUAUAGGACUGAAAGGACCAUGUAUUUGUUAUAUUGAUGUUCAUGAUUGGUUACGUUUCGUUCGUCUUGUUGAUUUUUAUUAAUAUAAACGAGCAUUGUUC